rnacentral:rRNA from 1 species
UACGAAGGGGGCUAGCGUUGCUCGGAAUCACUGGGCGUAAAGGGUGCGUAGGCGGGUCUUUUAAGUCAGGGGUGAAAUCCUGGAGCUCAACUCCAGAACUGCCUUUGAUACUGAAGAUCUUGAGUUCGGGAGAGGUGAGUGGAACUGCGAGUGUAGAGGUGAAAUUCGUAGAUAUUCGCAAGAACACCAGUGGCGAAGGCGGCUCACUGGCCCGAUACUGACGCUGAGGCACAAAAAGCGUGGGGGAGCAAACAGG